rnacentral:rRNA from 1 species
GAUGAACGCUAGCUACAGGCUUAACACAUGCAAGUCGAGGGGAAACGAUAUUGGAAGCUUGCUUCUGAUAGGCGUCGACCGGCGCACGGGCGAGUAACGCGUAUCCAACCUGCCCAUCACUUGGGGAUAACCUUGUGAAAGUAAGACUAAUACCCAAUGACGUCUCUAGAAGACAUCUGAAAGAGAUUAAAGAUUUAUCGGUGAUGGAUGGGGAUGCGUCUGAUUAGCUUGUUGGCGGGGUAACGGCCCACCAAGGCGACGAUCAGUAGGGGUUCUGAGAGGAAGGUCCCCCACAUUGGAACUGAGACACGGUCCAAACUCCUACGGGAGGCAGCAGUGAGGAAUAUUGGUCAAUGGACGAGAGUCUGAACCAGCCAAGUAGCGUGCAGGAUGACGGCCCUAUGGGUUGUAAACUGCUUUUAUAAGGGAAUAAAGUGGGAGUCGUGACUCUUUUUGCAUGUACCUUAUGAAUAAGGACCGGCUAAUUCCGUGCCAGCAG